rnacentral:tRNA from 1 species
CAUUCUAUGGCCGAACUGGUAAAGGCAUCGCCGAUUUCAGGCGAAGAUGCGGGUUCGAGUCCCACUGGAACGG